ACCCACUGCUAAUCAUCACCAUCAUUCCAAUCAUCAUCAUCAUCACCACAAACACCUUACAUUUGAUUAAUUAAUUAAUCCAAAAGAGAUCGACACCCAAACUAAAAUAAUCCCCCAGGUGAUUACAGAAGAAAAAAAUUAAACUAAACAAACAAUCGAUUGAUCACCAUGAUUUGAUUAAUUAAUUAAUUAACGAGAGCAGCAUGCAGCAAAAGCUCCAAACACCUAAUCUACGCUCGCUAAUCAUCACAUGCCAUUUUGCACAGCUACCUCAUCCUCGUUAGCCAUGGCCAUUGCUAGCUUUCAGCUCAGCUCAGCACAGUGACUUCACUUUGCUUGAUUAGCUCACCGCGGGCUCGCGGCGGCGC
rnacentral:lncRNA from 1 species